rnacentral:lncRNA from 1 species
CUUUAUUUUGAGCAGCUCUGUUCCUAAUGGCAACCUGGGAGGCUGGCUUUCCAGCCUGUUUUCAAGCAGUGCUCAGCAAAGCCACAUCACCGCAAGGUAUGCUUCAGAAUUUCUAUCGCUGUUUCAGGCCACCCCAGCUUGGCAUUCAUCAUUGCCUUCCCCGGGCAGUUCUCAGUUUCCUACAAUGUCUCAUACUGCCUGUCACACCCAGUGACAGCCUGUUAUAGUCGGGUGGGCAGCACUAAAUGGCUGCUCCCUGGCUCAGCCCCAUCCGUCAGUGCCUUUCCCCUGCAUCUCUGCUCCAGCACCGCCCUUCCUGGGGAUCCUCAGGCUUGGCAGAGGAAAAACAGGGCUGAUAGAGACAGAGAAAGAGAGAGAAACAGGAAUGUCUUGGGGUGAGAUUUUUACUUUAUUGGUGAUAAACCAACUGUGAAAAGUUAGAAAGGAGAAUUUUAGCAACAUGUUGAAGAGGGGAGUUCUUUAAAGGGAAUAUAGGAAAAGCUUCAUAAUUUUAUUGAUAUACUUGAAUUUAAUUUUAAAAGUAAGGACAGUAGUACUCUUGCAUCAAAAUGCAGAAGAUUUAUUUAACGCUGUGUAUCCCACCCCUGUAGGUGUUAGGAAUGCCCCCGUGAGGAAGAGGAAGUGAACUGAGGUGACUACGUGGUGGCAAAAGUCAGGAAAUUAGCAGAGUUAGGGUUUGUGUCCUCCCUCCUACCCAGGAAGGGAUUAGCACUGACUCAUUUCGUAAACAUUUAUUUAGCAACUUCUGUAUGCCAAGAGUUAUCCUCCAUGCUGGAAUAUAGCAGAGGCUGAAACAGAUGAGGCUAAAUCUUUUAUGUCUGGGAUUUUACUGCUUUCAUGGAACUUAAAUUGGCUUGUUAGGGCAUGGAGGAGGUUAAUGGCCAGAAACAGACAGAAAGACACAUGAUAAUGAAAAUAAAUAAAUAGUUACAUGUCAGUUACUGUUAAAUGCUAAGUGUCAUAGUCCACUUUGUAUUGCUAUAACAGAACACAAUAGAUGAUAAUUUAUUUAUAAAGUAAAUUUAUUCUUCACAGUUCUAGAGGUAGGGGCAUCUGGUGAGGGCCUUCCUGCUGCAUCAUCUCAUGGCAGAAGGUGAAAAGAUCAGAGAGUAUGAGAGUGCAAGUGAGCAAGAGGAAGCCAAACUUGCUUUGAUAACAAGCCCACUCUUAAGAUAACUAACACACUCCUGUGAUAAUGACAUUAAUCCAUGAGGACUCUCCCUUCAUGACCUCAUCAUCUCUUAUUCAGCCCCACUUCCCAACGCUGUGGCAUUGGGGAUUACGUUUACAACACAUGAACUUUAGGGAAUACCUUUAAACCAUAGCACCGUGUAAUGAUUUUUAAAAGGUGAUGUGAAAGCAAUUGAGGUCAUUAAAGAAUAUCUUUCUGAAAAAGUGACAUACAAGCUGCUGUAGAUCAAAUGUUUAUGAUCUAUAACAUCCACCCUCCCACACACAAAUUCAUAUAUUGAAAUCCUAACCCCCAGUGGGAGGGCGUUAGGAGAUGGAGCCUUUGGGAGGUGAAUAGUUCAUGAGGGUGGAGCCCUCAUGAAUGGGACUAAUGCCCUUCUAGAAGAGACCCCAGAAAGCUCUCUUACUCCUUUCACCUUGUGAGGACUCAGCAAGAAGAUGGCCAUCUAUGAACCAGGAAGCGGACCCUCACCAGACAGAAAAUCUGCCAGCACCUUGAUCUUGGACUUCCAGCCUCCAGAAUCAUAAGAAAUAAAUUUCUCUUGUUUAUAAUUCUCUAUGGUAUUGUUGGUAUAGCAAUGUGAACUAAGACAUAAGUUGAGAUCUGAGUGAUAAGAAGUAGCAAAUCAUGUUAGUUAGGAGGACAGAGUGCAUUGAGCAGAGGCCUCAACUAACAUGAAGUACCAAAAGUAGAACGAAGUUUAAAAAGUCCCAGUGGGGCUAGGAAGAAGGCCAGUGGGCCUAGAGUGGGGCGGGUGAGGGCAGAAGGCAAGGAGGUAUGUGUGGAGAAGUGGCUGACCCUGGUUUACAUAGCUCGGUCAGGUGGGGGUAGGAUCAGGAAUCACAAGUCCAAGGGUUUAGCCCAGACAGAGAUCCCCUGCUUGGGGCUUCUGGGGCACUGAGUAAGCUGUGGCUUUCAGAAUCAGGUGACUGUCAGAUUCAGGGAGUUUUUCUCGGUGUGCUCAAGGACCAGAGUUUGGUGAUGGAGGGCAGACAUUGAGGAGGCAGGAACCAUUAAAAAACAGGGUCCAGCCCUGGAAGAAUAGACUAGUAGAUAUUGGAAAAGUUGGUUAAGGUCUCAGGUGAAUGAAGUGAAACUCCAUAACAAGACAGAACAGAGAGACAUGCUUCUUGUGAAGGCUGAGUAGGGGCACUG